rnacentral:rRNA from 1 species
GGACGGGGCCCGCACAGGCGGCGGAGCAUGCGGAUUAAUUCGAUGCAACGCGAAGAACCUUACCAAGGCUUGACAUACACCGGUAACGCCCAGAGAUGGGUGCCCCUUUGUGGUCGGUGUACAGGUGGUGCAUGGUUGUCGUCAGCUCGUGUCGUGAGAUGUUGGGUUAAGUCCCGCAACGAGCGCAACCCUCGUCCUAUGUUGCCAGCGGGUCAUGCCGGGGACUCAUGGGAGACUGCCGGGGUCAACUCGGAGGAAGUGGGGAUGACGUCAAAUCAUCAUGCCCCUUAUGUCUUGGGCUUCACGCAUGCUACAAUGGCCGGUACAAAGGGCUGCGAUACCGCGAGGUGGAGCGAAUCCCAGAAAGCCGGUCUCAGUUCGGAUUGGGGUCUGCAACUCGACCCCAUGAAGUCGGAGUCGCUAGUAGUCGCAGAUCAGCAACGCUGCGGUGAAUACGUUCCCGGGCCUU